rnacentral:lncRNA from 1 species
UAUUUUGGCCAGGAGCUGAAGUUGGUUGUUUAGUAGUAGUAGUUUGAGUAGUGACCGAAGUAGUAGUCUGGUGUGUGGGUGCAAGAGUAGUUGGGGAAGAAUUAGGUGUGGUAAUUGGGGCAGCUGUGGUCUCUUGUGGAGCUGGGGAAGACGGUGGAGCUGGUGUAGUUGCAGAAGGUGUGGGUGGGACAGCUGUGGUCUCUGGUGGAGCUGAGGAAGAUAGUGGAGCUGGUGUAGUUGCAGAAGGUGUGGGUGGGGCAGCUGUGGUGUCUUGUGGAGCUGGGGAAUUCACUGGUGCUAAUGUAGCUACAGAAGAGCUUGUGUUAACAUUUUCUCUUGAAGAUAUGGUGGUGGCAUUCUGGGGAAGAAAAGUCACAUUUGGAAGGGUAGUAAUUUUGGUGGCUGGUGAGGAUUUGGGAAUUUGGGGGGGUUAUUAGGUGAAGGUGGAAGCUUAGGCCUACAGCGUUUGUGCAG